UGAGGAAUAUUGCACAAUGGGGGAAACCCUGAUGCAGCAACGCCGCGUGGAGGAUGACGCAUUUCGGUGUGUAAACUCCUUUUAUCAGAGAAGAACAUGACGGUAUCUGAUGAAUAAGCUCCGGCUAACUCCGUGCCAGCAGCCGCGGUAAUACGGAGGGAGCAAGCGUUAUUCGGAAUCACUGGGCGUAAAGGACGCGUAGGCGGGUUUUUAAGUCAGAUGUGAAAUCCUAUGGCUCAACCAUAGAACUGCAUUUGAAACUGGGAACCUAGAGUAUGGAAGGGGAAGAUGGAAUUAGUGGUGUAGGGGUAAAAUCCGUAGAUAUCACUAGGAAUACCGAAAGCGAAGGCGAUCUUCUGGGACAUAACUGACGCUGAGGCGUGAAAGCGUGGGGAGCAAACA
rnacentral:rRNA from 1 species